rnacentral:rRNA from 1 species
AUGAAACAGCUCAUCGGGCUUUAUGAAGUAGAACUCGCUCGAUCAUCUCACAUCCUCUUGCAUCGUGACUCCUCUCCUUUUGCUUCUCUAUCCUCGUGCUCUCUAUCUUCGUGCACGCUCCAGCUUUUCUCUUCCUUGUAUGUGCCCAUUGCUUCCCCUCUUCACCAUGCUCUAAAUCCAUCGAGGUCCCAAGGAAUGUCACCUCGAACCUGGUCAGCAUGUAGUGAAUGGUGCAGUAGCAAAAACCUGAAAGAGCACUCGACAAAAGAGACCAUACAAGUGAAAGGGGUAAUGCCCUCUAAAUCAUCAAUAGAGUACCCAAUUACAUAA